rnacentral:rRNA from 1 species
UGGGGAAUUUUGGACAAUGGGCGAAAGCCUGAUCCAGCAAUGCCGCGUGUGUGAAGAAGGCCUUCGGGUUGUAAAGCACUUUUGUCCGGAAAGAAAUCCUUGGCUCUAAUACAGUCGGGGGAUGACGGUACCGGAAGAAUAAGCACCGGCUAACUACGUGCCAGCAGCCGCGGUAAUACGUAGGGUGCAAGCGUUAAUCGGAAUUACUGGGCGUAAAGCGUGCGCAGGCGGUUUUGCUAAGACCGAUGUGAAAUCCCCGGGCUCAACCUGGGAACUGCAUUGGUGACUGGCAGGCUAGAGUAUGGCAGAGGGGGGUAGAAUUCCACGUGUAGCAGUGAAAUGCGUAGAGAUGUGGAGGAAUACCGAUGGCGAAGGCAGCCCCCUGGGCCAAUACUGACGCUCAUGCACGAAAGCGUGGGGAGCAAAACAGGAUUAGAUACCCUGGUAGUCCACGCCCUAAACGAUGUCAACUAGUUGUUGGGGAUUCAUUUCCUUAGUAACGUAGCUAACGCGUGAAGUUGACCGCCUGGGGAGUACGUCGCAAGAUUAAAACUCAAAUGAAUUGACGGGGUC